UUCGUUCAACCACCGAAUCACUCAUUUCGCUUCUCCGCACUCGCAAAGUCUGAAGGGAACCAGCACUAGCAAAAAGCAAGAAACACAAAAAGAAAUACUGUAUCACUGAAAAAUGUCCAUUGAACAAUGAUCACUUAAAGGUGAGGGAAAGUAUAAUACUAUGUUGCUUGAAAUAUUAUAAUUGUCUCAUUUGGAAUCUUAUCAUACAAGAACAUCAAAGCACGUAUAAUCUUAUCAUACACUUCAUACAAGAACAUCAAAGCAUGUAUAAUCUUAUCAUACACUUACUUCUCAGUGAUGAAGGAGAAAAUGGAAUCAUUGUGGAGGCCCGAAACACAUAACUUGCGGAGAGAUCCGGAGCUUCGGGUGAUGAGCAUUCGAAGCAUCCGAUCAAGAUGGUGGGGCUGACAUCGACUGCUCCACUCUUCAAUGUCUACCUCUUGCC
rnacentral:lncRNA from 1 species